UAAGGAAUAUUGGACAAUGGAGGCAACUCUGAUCCAGCCAUGCCGCGUGAAGGAAUAAGGCCCUAUGGGUUGUAAACUUCUUUUAGACGGGACAAAACCCCUUUACGUGUAAAGGGUUGAUGGUACUGUCAGAAUAAGCAUCGGCUAACUUCGUGCCAGCAGCCGCGGUAAUACGAAGGAUGCAAGCGUUAUCCGGAAUUAUUGGGUUUAAAGGGUGCGUAGGCGGACUAAUAAGUCAGUGGUGAAAGCCUGCAGCUAAACUGCAGAAUUGCCAUUGAUACUGUUAGUCUUGAGUACAGUUGAGGUAGGCGGAAUGUGUCAUGUAGCGGUGAAAUGCUUAGAUAUGACACAGAGCACCGAUUGCGAAGGCAGCUUGCUAAGCUGUAACUGACGCUGAGGCACGAAAGCGUGGGGAGCAAACA
rnacentral:rRNA from 1 species